rnacentral:rRNA from 1 species
UACGAAGGGGGCAAGCGUUGUUCGGAAUUACUGGGCGUAAAGGGCGCGCAGGCGGCCAAUCAAGUCAGAUGUGAAAGCCCCGGGCUCAACCUGGGAAUAGCAUUUGGGACUGGUUGGCUAGAGAUCGGGAGAGGAGAGUGGAAUUCCCAGUGUAGAGGUGAAAUUCGUAGAUAUUGGGAAGAACACCGGUGGCGAAAGCGGCUCACUGGACCACAACUGACGCUGAGGCGCGAAAGCUAGGGGAGCAAACAGG